GGUGGUUCUCGGGUGACGCACCCAGAAUCUGGCUUCCUCCUCUCUGGUUCUGGGGUGCGUCACCCGAGAACUGCC
rfam:Myotis lucifugus cont2.13172, whole genome shotgun sequence.